rnacentral:snRNA from 1 species
AUCGCUUCUCGGCCUUUUGGCUAAGAUCAAGUGUAGUAUCUGUUCUUAUCAGAAAUGCUGCUGAGGAGUUCCUGGGAUCUGGAUAACCCUUU